rnacentral:rRNA from 18 species
UAAACGACUCUCGGCAACGGAUAUCUCGGCUCUCGCAUCGAUGAAGAACGUAGCGAACUGCGAUACUUGGUGUGAAUUGCAGAAUCCCGUGAACCAUCGAGUCUUUGAACGCAAGUUGCGCCCGAAGCCAUUAGGCCAAGGGCACGUCUGCCUGGGCGUCACGC